ACACGUAGGGGCCUGACGUUGUUCGGAAUCAUUGGGCGUAAAGGGCGCGCAGGCGGCCGUCCAAGUCCGGUGUUAAAUGGUCGGGCUCAACCCGAUCAUGCGCUGGAAACUGGGCGGCUGGAGUCCCGGAGGGGAUGCCGGAAUUCCAGGUGUAGGGGUGGAAUCUGUAGAUAUCUGGAAGAACACCGAUGGCGAAGGCAGGCAUCUGGCCGGAGACUGACGCUGAGGCGCGAAGGCGCGGGGAGCGAACAGGUUUAGAUACCCUGGUAGUCCGCGCAGUAAACGAUGCGCACCAGGUGUCGGGCGGCAGCGCCCGGUACCGGAGCAAACGCGAUGAGUGCGCCGCCUGGGGAGUAUGCCCGCAAGGGUGAAACUCAAAUGAAUUGACGGGG
rnacentral:rRNA from 1 species